rnacentral:rRNA from 1 species
UACGGAGGCCUCGAGCGUUGUUCGGAAUCACUGGGCUUAAAGCGCGUGUAGGCGGAGCGGUAAGUACUUUGUGAAAUCCCCGGCUUCAAUCCGGGAACUGCUUGGUAUACUGCCGUUCUUGAGGCAGGUAGGGGUCACUGGAACCUUAGGUGGAGCGGUGAAAUGCGUAGAUAUCUAAGGGAACGCCUGUGGCGAAAGCGGGUGACUGGGCCUGACCUGACGCUGAGACGCGAAAGCGUAGGGAGCAAAC